UCUGUCCCAGCCCACGUUGAGUACUCGCUGCACUCGCAAGGAGAAACCCCUCUUCCAAUCAAGCAGGCAGAAACAGCAGGAAAACCCCAAACUCCUUCUUUAAUUCACAGAAACAUCAGGAAAACCCAAAACCCCAUCUUUAAUUCACAGACCUGAAUCAAACACAGUUCACAGCAACUCAAUCCUUACGCAAACGGUUGCCUUUGGCAACCAGCACCUCCCACACCUUCCCUUUUAUUAUGCAGCCAAGGUGUGGCUUUCCUAACGCCUGCUCCUUUGCCUUUGGAGUCGCCCCAUUGCAUUCCUUUGUCCUGCUCUUUUCUUGCCGGCGUUUUCGUGCAUCCGGGAUUUGUCCCAGCUGUUCUUCAUCACUGUCCACCUCCCAGCCCAGCUGUGUCUCAGCCUGAGUGUGAGUAGAGGGGCCAGACUCCUCAUCAGACUGUAAGUCCUGGAGCUUCUCAGAGCCUUCCUCUGACUCCAAUGUCAUUCCAGGUCCUUCCUCCUCCUCCUCUGAGUCCUCAGACUCAGCUGCCGGAUCGACGGGCUGGCGAGGAAUCACAACAGAGGGAUCCAGCCCCUGUAAUGGACAAAGGGACAAAGCUUCGGUGCGAUUUGGCGCAAUAGCAUCAAGAUCAUGUGAAGCGUAGCACCGCUUUAUACCGCACAGCAGCCGUUCAUCAAGUGUGAGAAACACAAAGCGCACACCACGCUGUAUCUGAUCCGGGGAGGCAACAGUCUUGGUUUCUGGUCUAGCUGUACUCCAUCCUCUGAAGUGAAAAAUGCCUCAUCCAAAUUCCUUUCCAUGUCCCAGGAUGCUUUCUUUCUGAAAUGAGAUGCCCAGGCAGACAGAGGCUGGGUCAUCCCAAACCAGUGUAA